rnacentral:rRNA from 1 species
AGUGAACGCUGGCGGUAGGCCUAACACAUGCAAGUCGAACGGCAGCACAGUAAGAGCUUGCUCUUACGGGUGGCGAGUGGCGGACGGGUGAGGAAUACAUCGGAAUCUACUUUUUCGUGGGGGAUAACGUAGGGAAACUUACGCUAAUACCGCAUACGACCUACGGGUGAAAGCAGGGGAUCUUCGGACCUUGCGCGAUUGAAUGAGCCGAUGUCGGAUUAGCUAGUUGGCGGGGUAAAGGCCCACCAAGGCGACGAUCCGCAGCUGGUCUGAGAGGAUGAUCAGCCACAGUGGAACUGAGACACGGUCCAGACUCCUACGGGAGGCAGCAGUGGGGAAUAUUGGACAAUGGGCGCAAGCCUGAUCCAGCCAUACCGCGUGGGUGAAGAAGGCCUUCGGUUUGUAAAGACCUUUUGUUGGGAAAGAAAAGCAGCAGGUUAAUACCCCGCUGUUCUGACGGUACCCAAAGAAUAAGCACCGGCUAACUUCGUG